rnacentral:lncRNA from 1 species
AGUCCAAUACCGGCUGAUCGGCAAUCAGGAUGGAGAGGAUAGCAAUCCUGGCAGUCGCCCUACUGACGUUUUCAAAGUGUCUUUGGGCAACCCUGGAAUUUGACCUGCAGAGUUUCUGUAAUGGGUUCCUUAUUGCUUCUCAUGACUGGUACACUUUAACACACUCAUUUGCUCUUUAUAUUUCCUGGAUUCAAAGUUGUGAUUAGGCCUGCGGUCUCCUAUAUUCAGGAACAUACAAGUUAAUUAUUUUCAGAAGGAGCAAUGCAAUGUCUAUGUUUUACUCAAAUGUUUAACAAAGUGAAAUGUAUGUACACUUAAGUUCAUCAAUUUCAAAUAUGGUAUUUUAUGAGUUUUGAGAAAUAUAUGCAGUCAAGAAACUUGUCACAAUGAUACAGACAUGUCCACGAUCCUGAAAGCUUUGUGUGCCUUUUGUAGUCAGAUUCCUCUGGCUGCCUACUGAAGACCACUAAUUUUCUUUUAUCACGAUGGCUUUGGCUUUUCUAGAAUUUUAAGCAAUUGAAAUUGUGUGUCAUAGCAUCUUUUGUUUUCUUGUUCUUUCAUGUUUGAGAAUUACCUCUGCUUCUGUGUGUAUUGGUCAUAUGUAUGUAUGUAUGUAUGUGUAUUUGAUACAGGUUUUACCUAUAUGUCCCAGGUUUCCCUGGAACUCACAAUUUUUCCCCAGCCUCCUGAGGGCUAGGAAGGGAGGCAUGCAGCAGCACACUUACUUCUUUCAUUGUUGAGUGGUGUUUGAAUACGGAUAUGCUAUGUAUUGUUUGUUCAUCCAUUCAAUACUUGAUGGAGAUUUGGGUUACUUCAAGUUUGGGGCCAAUCUGUAUAAAACUAUUGAAUAUAACUGAUGCCUGAUCAAUUCAUUAAAACAGCCAAAUACUUAGACUUUCUCUCUUCCUAGCAUGGAUUCCUUCCCAGGUGCUGAGAACUGUCCAUGCAGUAAGAAUUUCAAGUCAUUUCAUUUUGUACUAUAGUCACAGUUUGUAUUUGUGUUCUGGUCUGUUAGCCUCUCAGUUUGCCAUUUCCCAAAGUAUUAGCCUUAAAAGUAGUUGUGUUUUAUUAUUUCUUUUCACUUAUAAUUUUGUUUAAACUUUCAGUACUUUUUUAAAUGAAAGAUAAAACUCUACAUCUACUACUUAAUGACCCAGGGGUAAACUUUCUGGAAAGGCAGGAUUAAUGACUCAUUCUUUCUUCUAACUUAUUUAAUUUUUGAGAUAAUGAAUUAGUUUCUAGACACCCACAGGUGGUUAAUUAAUCUUAGAUACAUAGUUGUGAUGAAUGGUUAAUUCCCAUAUUAGUCUGUUUCCCAUAUUCCAACAAAAUAGCCAACAUGUAUAAAAGUAUCACAAAAAACUAUGAGUACAAAAGAGAAAUUCUCAGCAAGCAUAUCAUAUAACACAUACCUGCAAAAAUUACACAAAUUUAAUGGAACUUAUUCAAGGUUUGCGAGAUUCAAAAUGAAUAAAACAUACUGAUGUAAUUCAUUGCACUCACAGGCUAAAGAAAAGGCCUGAGAUCAUGUUCUAUC